rnacentral:sRNA from 1 species
CUAGCGCGCUUAGCAAGUCAGCAAGCCAGAGAUGAACAACGUUAUUGCAUAAAGUGUAUACAAGUGUGAAAGAGAAAGGCAGAUAGAGAGAUGGAAAACAAAUGAUUUAAAGGAAUUUCAAAAAGAGAAAAAAAAUGGAAAAUAAAUAAUGAAAUUAAAUCCUCUGCAAAAGUAACCAAGUCAAGUUCCAUUAGGAACUUGAAAAGAAGUUAUAACGAAAUAAAAAAAAUAAAACAAAUUGUUUGUUCGUGUGCGUGUGUAAAAGAGAGUUGAAGUAAAGUCCUUAAACCCCACAUAAAACAUAAACAUCAGCAACACCAAUAACAGCAAGGGAAAUUAUAUAUAUCCUCGUCAUAACGAAGAAAGAAAAAAUCGAGUGUAUUAGUGCAAGUGUUUGUGCAGUUGAAUCUGUGUGCGUGUGUGUAUAUGCGUGCAUUAAUGGCAGAUAAUAAAUAAAGAAGAAAAGUAAGCCUAUAUUUUUCUGAAGCAAAAAAAAAAAAA